rnacentral:rRNA from 1 species
UACGUAGGGGGGCUAGCGUUGUCCGGAAUCAUUGGGCGUAAAGCGCGUGUAGGCGGCCCGGUAAGUCCGCUGUGAAAGUCGGGGGGCUCAACCCUCGGAUGCCGGUGGAUACUGUCGGGCUCGAGUACGGAAGAGGCGAGUGGAAUUCCUGGUGUAGCGGUGAAAUGCGCAGAUAUCAGGAGGAACACCAAUUGCGAAGGCAGCUCGCUGGGACGUUACUGACGCUGGAGACGCGAAAGCGUGGGGAGCAAACAGG